rnacentral:rRNA from 1 species
UACGUAGGGGGCAAGCGUUGUCCGGAUUUAUUGGGCGUAAAGAGCGUGUAGGCGGCUAUACAGGUCCGCUGUGAAAACUCGAGGCUCAACCUCGAGACGUCGGUGGAAACCGUAUGGCUAGAGUCCGGAAGAGGAGAGUGGAAUUCCUGGUGUAGCGGUGAAAUGCGCAGAUAUCAGGAAGAACACCCGUGGCGAAGGCGGCUCUCUGGGACGGUACUGACGCUGAGACGCGAAAGCGUGGGGAGCGAACAGGG